rnacentral:rRNA from 1 species
GCUGCUCCUAGUACGAGAGGACCGGAGUGGACGCAUCACUGGUGUUCGGGUUGUCAUGCCAAUGGCACUGCCCGGUAGCUAAAUGCGGAAGAGAUAAGUGCUGAAAGCAUCUAAGCACGAAACUUGCCCCGAGAUGAGUUCUCCCUGACUCCUUGAGAGUCCUGAAGGAACGUUGAAGACGACGACGUUGAUAGGCCGGGUGUGUAAGCGCAGCGAUGCGUUGAGCUAACCGGUACUAAUGAACCGUGAGGCUUAACCUU